GUAGAGAUUAUAGGCUUGCGGGCAUUUGUUGUUGUCAGUCUUUAGAUUGAUCUUCUGUCCGAGCAUUGAACCCAGUAAUCUCCUCCAUGAAAAUUUUGGUUGCUCUUGGACCUGGCUAAUCUCAUCUUCUCGUUGUGAGAGUUUGAGGCUCAAAGCCAGAAAGAACAGAUGUUGGGUAAGUUCCUCCCCCAAUGAAGAAAGACUGCAAAUCAAUCAAUCAAUCAAUCAGUAUGGACAUGAUCAAAAGUCUGUUGCGUAUAUAUUGACAGUAAUGUUAGUAUUUGUUAACUAAUUGAUAGUUAUUCUUUGUUCAAGACAAAUCAACGUACUUGAAAGAGUCCCAUUCCAAAGCUAUCAGAUGCAUCAAUGCUGCUGAUGAUUUCCAGCCUGCUUCCUUCUCCUGUGUUCUCCAAGUAAAACGCCGAUCCAGCCGGAAUUCGGAAGAGAAUCAAGCUGGAAUCAAGAUACUGAGGGAUAAAAAGGGUGUUGGGCUCCAUGGUAACGAAACCAAUAUGCAUUGGCCUAUUCUUGCUGUCGCCCCUGGUCCUCACCACCCUCACCGCUCCUGCAUCAGUCUCGACAAUACUCUUGUAAUCCCUUAAUAAGAACCAGUUUUCACCAGUUCUACCACUACCACUUUUUGACUCUUUUUUCCUUUUGUUAAUCAUCUCUUCCCUCUGUGAUCUCCACCGUGCCUGAUCUUUUUCUUCUCUGAGCCCCAUUGCCAUAGUCACCCCAUAACAAAAUGCUACCAGAAGUAGCAGAAAGGUUCCUCUGUUUCUGACCACCAUUGUUGCUAACUUCAAUCUUGAUUGAGUUUUGAUAUGUUUUGUUUUUGGUUAUGUUAGGAUUAUGUUGUGGGGAUAGUGGGUUUAAAUAGGGGGAAAAGAGAGAGAAAUCUGGGGGGGUAUGUGUCCUCCAUGGAGUUGUUUGUGGGUUUUGGUGGGAAAGAUUUGUUCAUUUUGUGAGACAAGGUCUUUGGCUUUGAAUUUCUCUAACCCUUAAAUUUCUCAAAAACAUGCAUUACCCCU